rnacentral:rRNA from 1 species
GAUGAACGCUGGCGGCGUGCCUAAUACAUGCAAGUCGAGCGAACAGACGAGGAGCUUGCUCCUCUGACGUUAGCGGCGGACGGGUGAGUAACACGUGGAUAACCUACCUAUAAGACUGGGAUAACUUCGGGAAACCGGAGCUAAUACCGGAUAACAUGUUGAACCGCAUGGUUCAACAGUGAAAGACGGUCCUGCUGUCACUUAUAGAUGGAUCCGCGCCGCAUUAGCUAGUUGGUAAGGUAACGGCUUACCAAGGCAACGAUGCGUAGCCGACCUGAGAGGGUGAUCGGCCACACUGGAACUGAGACACGGUCCAGACUCCUACGGGAGGCAGCAGUAGGGAAUCUUCCGCAAUGGGCGAAAGCCUGACGGAGCAACGCCGCGUGAGUGAAGAAGGUAUUCGGAUCGUAAAACUCUGUUAUUAGGGAAGAACAAAUGUGUAAGUAACUAUGCACGUCUUGACGGUACCUAAUCAGAAAGCCACGGCUAACUACGUG